GUGGGGAAUAUUGGGCAAUGGGCGAAAGCCUGACCCAGCAACGCCGCGUGAAGGAAGAAGGUUUUCGGAUUGUAAACUUCUGUCCUCAGGGAAGAAGGAAGUGACGGUACCUGAGGAGGAAGCCCCGGCUAACUACGUGCCAGCAGCCGCGGUAAUACGUAGGGGGCGAGCGUUGUCCGGAAUGACUGGGCGUAAAGGGCGCGUAGACGGCUGUCUAAGUCUGGAGUGAAAGUCCUGCUUUCAAGGUGGGAAUUGCUUUGGAGACUGGAUGGCUUGAGUGCGGAAGAGGUAAGUGGAAUUCCCAGUGUAGCGGUGAAAUGCGUAGAGAUUGGGAAGAACACCAGUGGCGAAGGCGACUUACUGGGCCGUAACUGACGUUGAUGCGCGAAAGCGUGGGGAGCGAACAGGAUUAGAAACCCGGGUAGUCC
rnacentral:rRNA from 1 species